rnacentral:rRNA from 1 species
AUUGAACGCUGGCGGCAUGCCUUACACAUGCAAGUCGAACGGCAGCACGGGUGCUUGCACCUGGUGGCGAGUGGCGAACGGGUGAGUAAUACAUCGGAACGUACCUUAUCGUGGGGGAUAACGCAGCGAAAGCUGUGCUAAUACCGCAUACGCCCUGAGGGGGAAAGCGGGGGAUCGCAAGACCUCGCGCGAUUAGAGCGGCCGAUGCCUGAUUAGCUUGUUGGUGGGGUAAAAGCCCACCAAGGAGACGAUCAGGAGCUGGUCUGAGAGGACGAUCAGCCACACUGGGACUGAGACACGGCCCAGACUCCUACAGGAGGCAGCAGUGGGGAAUUUUGGACAAUGGGGGCAACCCUGAUCCAGCAAUGCCGCGUGAGUGAAGAAGGCCUUCGGGUUGUAAAGCUCUUUUGUCAGGGAAGAAACACCGGCUCUAACACAGUCUGGGAAUGACGGUACCUGAAGAAUAAGCACCGGCUAACUACGUGCCAGCAGCCGCAGUAA